CUUGUCUUAGAUUCUGUGAUAUUUAAUUUUAAAUUUGAGUGGUUAAAAUGUACGAUGAACCUUUUGCAGUUAGUGCUGGGGCUGAUCUUGAAAGGGCUGUGCACCCCACACAUGCCUGGGAGUUUGUUCGUAAGGUCAUAGUUGAUGCCAGAAAUGCUGGCAGCUAAUGCUUUGACGCAGUUGCAAGCUGAUUGGCGCUCUGGAGUUGAUUGGGCAGCCGCGUUGAGAGAUCUGAUCCCAUUGCAGCAAGGUGCAGGCACGCCAACAGCACCGUUGUUUCUCACGUAGGGAAUGCAGGGUGUCAAGGUUGAUAUAACUUGGCCACAACUUAUGGCCCCUUUAGCCAGGGGUGCACCCACAAUCAAGCACAAGACCAUAACCCAUGCAAGCUUGACGGACAUAGUGCUAGCCAUAUGAUUCAGUAAUUAGAAGAAAUUAAGCAAAUUUUAUAUAACUUGUAAGGAAAGUUGAUUGUUGUGUGCUUAGGGCUUGAGGGUUUUUAUAGCCAAAAGUUUAGUGAAUUGGGAUAUGACAAGAACGAAACAAAUUAAUUGCAUACCAAUACAACACGUCAGGAGUUGCUAAAUGUGGCUCAAUUCAAUACAAAGCUUUUUUUCUCUCCUUCUCAUGUUUUGGCUUUAAGGUUUAGUAUCUUUAAUGCUUGGAAAUUAGGUUCCAUCCACCACUAUCGGUUUUAUCUUGAUCCAUAUUAUAAUUCUCAAUUAGUUUGAAUUUUAGUAUAGUUUUUGGUAUAAUAUUAUCGCUUUUUCACAUCGAUCGGGUCUUAACUCAAUUUUAAAAAUUACUAGAAAUCUAUUUAUUUUAUAAACCUACACAUUAUUUUGAGAUAAUUUAUCUCUUUACAUUUUGAUAAAUCUAGAAAUAUAUAUACACAUAAUGAUAAUUAUAGGAUUUGAACCAAAAAUAUUAUAUCCUUUUCUAUUUUAACUUUACCAUUCUAACAAAAGCCUCAUUUAUUUAUUUUUAUCAUUUAUUUUUAUAUAUUUAUUAUAUAAAUGUUUUCACCCACUAAUAUAUAUCAAUAAUUUUUUUCUUUUUAUUUAUAAUAAAAAAAACUACCAAGAAAGUUUAUCAUUCACUUAAAUUAAUUAUUUGUUUUAAUUUUAAUUUAUUUUUUGAAAUAUAAUUAUUUUUAAUGAAUACUAUUAUUAAAAAAUUGUUUCUCAUCCGUAAAGUAUAAACCAUACUUUUCAUACAUUUGAAUGUUAGCCCUCCUACUAUAUUAUAUAAUGUUAUAUAUCAUGUAUAAUAUGUUAUAUUAAUAUUUUAUAUAUGUUUUAAUGGUUAAACAUUAUAAUAUCAUUCAAUACUAUAUAUUUUAAUAUAAUCUAUAAUAUAAUAAUAAUUAUAUAUAGUAAUACAUUAUAUAUUAUAUAUUAAUUAUUAUUUUUUAUAAUUGUAUUGGUUGAAAUAUACUCUAAAUCCCUAUAUUUUCCAUGCGUAUAUGAAAGUUAGCCCUCUUAUCAUAUUAUAUAAUACUAUAUUAUACCAUAUUAGUAGUUUAUAUAUAUACAUAAAUGGAUAAACGUUAUAAUGUUAUGUAAUAUUAUAUAUUUUAUUAUAAUAUAUAAUAUAAUAAUAGUUAUAUAUAAUAGUAGUACAUUAUAUAUUACAUAUUAUUAUAUAUUAUAUAUUACUGUUUAUUAUUAUAUUAGUUGAAAUAUACUCUAAGUCCAUAUACUUUUCAUACAUUUGGAAGAUAGCACUCCUAUAUUAUAUAAUGCUAUAUCAUAUAAUAUAUUAAUAGUUUAUAUAUAUGCAUAAAUGAUUAAACAUUAUAAUAUCAUGUAAUACUAUAUAUUUUUAUUAUAAUCCAUAUUAUAAUAAUAGUUAUAUAUAAUAGUAGUAUAUUAUAUAUUACUUGUUAUAUAUUAUUAUUUACUAUUAUGCUAGUUGAAAUAUGUUCUAAGUCUUUAUACUUCUCAUACAUUUAAAAAUUAGCCCUCCUACUACAUUUUAUAAGGUUAUAUCAUAUCAUAUAUUAAUAGUUUAUACAUAUAUGCAUUGAUGAUUAAAGUCGAGCUUUUUCAGGCUUUAAGUCGAAUUUAUCUUAGACUCGAGCCAGAUUGGUGUCAAGCUUUCUCGAGCUCAAGUUUUGUUGGCUCAAGUUUUCUCGGAAUUAGAUCGUUACGAGCUCAGAUUAGCAUGGGCGGGCUUUCGAGCUCGAGCUUGUUUUGCCAGCUCUAACGUGGCUUGUUUUCGCCAAUGAAAAAAUGUCAUGUGGCAUUUAGAUUUUUUUAAAUUAAAAAUAUUAAAUUUAAAUUAAAAAUAGAAAAUUAUAAUAUUAAACAUUUCAAUAUUAAAAAAACACUAUUGAUUUUGAACUGUCAUUGAUUGGCGUUGACUGGUAUUGACCAUUGUUGACCGACAGUUGGUUAGUGUUGAUCGGCAUUAAUCUGCCACGUGACACUAUUAGAAUAUGCCACGUGCCCUUUUUUAUAUUUUUUUAAUAUUAUAUAUAUUGUAUUGAUUAAAAAUGUAAAAAUCAUAUAUAAUUUAUAAAAAAAUUUAUAAAAUUUAUAAAAUUCUAAAAUAUAUAAUUAUAAUUUUAAAAAAUAAAAAUAAUAUAUAAAAAUUUUUAUAAAAAUUUAAAAAGCAAUUAAAUUUCAAGUUAUUUCAAAAAAAGACCUUGAAAUUUAAAUAUCUUUUUAGAAUUUUAUAAAAAAAUAAAAAAUUUUAAAUUGUUUUUUUUACAAUUUUUACAAUUCUUUUACAUUUUUGUAAUAAUAUUAUUAAUUUCAACCAAUUCCAUUUCAAUUAUUGUAUUGUUUUGUAAAUUUUAUUUUUAUAUAUUUUUAAUAAUUUAUAUAUAUAUUUAGAUUUUAUAUAUUUAUUUCUAUUUCCAUUUUUUUUAAUGUGUAUAUACAUUCAAUAUAAGAAAAUAUUUUUUUUUUACAUAUAGUUGCCAUAUUGCACUCUGUGAUUGGCUAUCAAUUUUUUUUAACAUCUGUGAAAAAAAUAGAUUCAAAAAUAUAACGAAGAGAUUUUAGGUACCAAACUGAAAAGUGAUUGAUACUUUGAGUACCAAAUUGAAAGAAAAAAAUUGAAGUACCCAAAUGAAAAAAUAAAUAUUCUUCAAAAGCCAAAUAAUAAAUUAAACCUAUAAAUAAUAUAAAAUUACUUCUAACCAAUAGUAGAAUUGUAUAAUACAUAAAACAUCCAUUUUUAUAAUAAUAAAAUAUUUAUACACAUAACCUUUUUUUUUGGUGAUAAAAACAAAGAAAAACUAAAUCAAAUUAUUAAGAUCAUAGAAGCCACUAGCUUUGUUAGAUUGUAAAACUGUUAAAAGUUUCGUAAGAGCUUUAGCAAACACCCGCACAUUAACCUUCCAGUCAGAUACCAUCUUAGCUAAACGGUUUGCAACUAGAUUUCACUCCCUCAUGAUAUGUCUUAUAUGCCACUAUUUUAUAUGCUAUAAGGCCUGAAUGAUCUGCCUGAUCAAAGCGGAAUUCGAAAUAGCUGAAACCCUUUCCUGAAUUACUUUAAUCACCUUUAGACUAUCAGAUUGGAUCAAUAUCCUAUCACACCCUCGUCUAUGUAAAAGAAUUACCCUAUCCAAAAUACCCCAAAGUUUAACAUCAAAUACUGAACAGCUCCCAGACAAUGAUUAUAAUCGAGGAUCCAAGCCCUUCUCUGAUGACGUAGAACCCAUCGACAGAAACAAUCCCUGCAUCAGACUUAACGGAGCCAUCAGGAUUUAAGACAAACCAGUUAUCUGACAAUGGAUUAUCUAGAACAGAAGAUGAAGCCUAUCUGAUUCCUUAUUGUGAGCCAAAAGGUAUUGCUUAGCCUAACUAAUAGAAACUUUUAUGAUCUCAAAAGAGCUUUAAGAUGAUCCUUGAAAAAUGAAAUAGUUCAUGUUCUUCCAUAAUUGCCACACAAGUAAUCAAAAGAGACUCGACCAACUAGCCACAACAUUAGACACCCACACGCUAGAGUAUAAAUUAAAACUUAUCCAAUCAGUUAACUCGUACAUGAAAAGAACUUGUUUUGCUAACUGUGUGGAACUACUUGUAACCAGACAUCUUUUGCAACAGAAGAAUCUCCAAGCACAUAUAGAACACAUUCAAAAUUAUGUCGACAUAACAGACAAGAGUCGUCCUGUCCAAUACCUCGCCUUACACGCUCCACAUUAGUUAGAAGUAUUUGUUUAAGGAUGAGCCAAAGGAAGGACCUCACUCUUUGGGCCCCUAAAACUUCCAAAUAGACUUCCACAACGAAUCUAUAGGAUGCCAAGAAAGGUUCAGAGCUGGGAAAAAAUGAUAGAAAAGUUGGAAGAGGAGAAAAUUCAGCUGGGGAUAGACAUCGAUAUCCAAAAUUUAGAAGCCAAAAAAAUGAGAAAGGGAAAGAAUAAGGCUAAAGAAGACUUGAAUAGUUUACAAACGGAGUACAAAAAACUUCGCUUAUCAAUAAGGACUGCUGGGUUGGGCAAAACGUCAGGACAAUGGUGAUAGGAAAUCUAAGAAGAGAAGAAUAGAGUCUAUUAGUGGGAGAAAGUUCCAAGAUGCUCGAGUCUAGUGGGAUGCUAUAAAAAGAGAAUUGUUAGAAAGACAAGUUGAAAAAGUUGGACUGAAAGCCCAGGUAGCGGAGUUGGAAAAAUCUUUGCAUCAACAUCGUAGUUGCAACUUUGUGACUAAGUUGAAAGCAAGUCGGGCUAAGAAUGAGAAGUUGAAAAAAAAGAUAGAAGAACUUGAGGCCUCAUUGCGAAAUUGUAAACUCCAAAUUGAGCUUCUCAAAGAAACUAGGGAAACAAACAAUGAAUAUUAGAAAGAGCAACUCCAACGGCCGUGUUAAAAAGAAACUAGAGAUCAUGUUAUGAGCGAAGCUUUGGCCUAAGUACAAGAAGUGGCUAACCACUUGCAUGCAUUAGCCAUUCAAGUUGAUGUUCUGAGCUUGAAAUAUGAAUUGGAGUCGGAUCGUGGCCAAGAAUUAGCUUGGUUUCUUAGGAAAGUUAAGGUUUUGAGUGUUAAGGUAAGACCAUAUAUGUGAAAUGUAUCUGCUUUAUGUAAAUAAACUUGUCUUCUAGUAAAGUUGUUCUAAGGGAAUUGAACUAGAAUCAAUGUCUUUUUUUGCAUACAUAUUUACCAUUCAUUAGCAUUGCAUUUCUUUAAAUACAUUAAAUUUUUGGACAUCAUUGAUUGUUUUAUUCCACCACCAAUCGUAUUCUGGGGUUAUCAUAUGAUUUGCGGUAAAUUUGUUCAUCUUGUGAGUUUGGUUCCAUGCGUUCGAGAUUUCACGGAUCUUCUUUUUAUAAUUGUCACCCUUGUAUGUGAACUCACAUUGGGCCAACCAUUGUGUUGCUAGAAUAAACUGCCUCAAUCUGUACUGCCUUAAUACUAGUAAAUAGGCAUAUCCAACAGCUCCCCAUAUUCCAAACAAACGGACCCAAUCAAAGUCUCCAUAUCGAUAAAGAAUUUUAUUGGGAAUCAUCUAAGGUGCUUGCCAUUUAACAUCUUCAUCUCGGAGACUUUGGAAAAUUACCAUCCGUUUUUCUUCAAAGAUGUUUUUUUAUCUUUGAGUAGCCAGAAAUUCCUUCAAUGGAGAAUAGUAUUCAAAGAACACUCGAUAGGAGACUUUUUCCAUCUUCCAGAAGUGGCUAUAGAACCAGACUAGCAAGAGUUGUGCACAACCAAUAAAUCUUCCUUCACCCUCUCUUCGACAAGCAUUCAAAGACCUAAAAAUUUCAACCAAGAUUGUUGGGACAUGAGUGACCAUUUUGUUGAGUCGGUCAAACAAAUCUGAACCGCAUCCUUUAUAUAUCCUAAUGCCUUAGGGAAGAUGACUAACCCAUAAAUACUUAAGGCAAAGACAUCGAUCUUUUUCCUUGUGUCUAGGUGUACCAAGAUUAAGCCCCGUAAACUCUUCUAAGUGAUGCAUUUACUAUCCCUUUUUCUUUAAUUUGGGUCGCGACUCAUUACUCGCUCAUCCUAGUUAUGUUCAUUAACCUCUUUAAGAAGAUUGGGACAUUGGUGGCUCCAGAGUAGGCUUUAUUGACCUGGACCUUCAGGCAAUAGAGUAAAGUGGUGUAUUCUUUUACUGUGGGUACCAUGUCUACUCUCCUUAAACUGAAAUAAUCGUAAUUCAAAAAUUGACGUCUUAGUGUCGAGAAUUGAGAAUUCAAAGAAAAUUUAAAAUGCAACCCCCCUUUUACAUGAUGUUAUUUGAUGAUAUUAAAAAUAUCGCUAUCUAAAUUAAAUUUGAUGGAAAAGGCUCUCUAAUUUUGAGUCGAUCCAGAUGAAAAAGUAAUGUUCCAUAAGUCAGGGCACAACAUCUCUAUUGUUGUUCUCUGUCUUUGUUUUGUAGGUUCUUGCAUGGUGGUGGCAAUAGUCAGUCGAGUCAACGGCAACGGGAGUCGUGCAGUUUGCCAUUUCGGUGCAAUCAUGGCAGAGGAGGCGUCAGAUCCUUGGACGUUGUGCCUGCUGACGUGGCGAGGGCAGCGGCGUUGAAGGUUUAGGGGAAUUAAGGUUUUGGGUUUAGGUUUUGGGCUUGGGUUAGGAUGUUAGGUAUUGGGUAGUUUUGGCCUUUUUUAUAUGUAAAAUGGAAUGUUAUUAAUGGACCCUUUUUGUUUAUUAUUUAUUUUAUUUAUUGUGUUUGGGCUGGAAGAACUUGGGUCAUUACAAUCAUAUUUUACCGCAGUUUCCUCUCAUGUCGAAAUAUGGAAAGACUGCUUGCAUGUUGGAAGAAAUAAAAAGUAUCCACGAUAGGACUUUUACCAAAAAGCUUGAAGAAUUCCCUGGUGGCUCCGACACUUUCUUGUUUGCAGUAAAAUUCUGCUACGGAGUUCAUGUGGAAUUUAUAGUUAGAAAUAUAAUAACAGUGUACUGUGCAGUGGACUACCUUGAUAUGACAGAUGAGUAUGGGAAGAUAAUUUACUUUCGAAGGCGAAAAGUUUCUUCCACAAAAAUGUACUUCACAACUGGAAAUAUUGUGUAUUGGCUUUGCAAAGUUGCGAAUCGUGCAUGCCAAGGGCAGAAAAGCUCCACAUAUUACAAAAAUGUCUGAAUGUUGUAUCUACGAUGGUUUGUAUGGAUCCAAGUUUGUUUGGUUGGCCCAUUAUGAUGUAUGGUAGCCUUCAAAGCCCCGGUGGAAGCAUUCUAUGGAAUGGAAUAAACACUAGGGCAAAAAUACGAAGCGCAUAAUUUGACUGGUGGUUCGAAGACAUCUCUUAUUUCAGUGUAGGUUUGUUUGAAAGACUUAUCAAAACAAUGGAAGCAAGGGGUAUUAGAUAUGAAUAUCUAGCUAGAGCUGUAACAUACUAUGCCGGAAAGUAUCACCAGGCCUGGGCCGAGGGCAGAGUAGACCGAGUGGCAAAGCUAGGACAAUCACGAGUUUUUGCUUGACUUCUGUUGCUGUUCAUCAAAGGGAUUUACUGGAAAACAUCGAAAAGCUUCUCCCAAAAAAGAAGGGCAAGUCAUUCUGCCGUAUUUUACUUGGACUUCUUCGUGUUGCAUCAAUAUUAGGUGUCAAUCAGACAUGCUUGGAUUCUUUGGAGAGGAGAAUAGGAAUGUAACUCGAAUUGGCUAGCCUUGAUGAUAUUUUGAUUCCUUCUUUCUCGAAUUCGGAUACUCUAUGCGGUACUGAUUGUAUAAAUUCUAAUUUGACAUGUUUAAAUUUUUUAAAUUUAAUUCGAACAAUUUCUUUUGAUUCGACUUGACUCUUAUUUAUCGAAGGUAAGUGAGUAUAAUAUUUUAGAGGUAAGUGUUAGGUGUUGCUUGCAUAAUAUGGAUAGCAAUUAAAUAAAUAAAACUCUUAAAUAAACUAGCCUGCCAUAAUUAAGUAGUUUUAUUUACAAUAUAUCUCUACUAAUUAAAUAUAAACUUUUUAAAAUAAUAAUGUACUAAGCUAAAUACCUGACUUGAAUUCAUAUUACACUCUCUUCAUUUGCGUGAUCAAACAUCACAAAAUGAAUCGUCUAUUUGAUUGAUUUCUUAGAUAAAUUAAGAUUCAUUAUUUCUUUGAAGAUUUUGCAACUUACUUUCUUUAAAUUAUUUUUUUAUUUGUUUUCUUACAAGGUGAAUCAGGGGCUCUUAUAAUUUUUUUUAGGGAGGGAAAUUGAAUUAAAAUUCUUAAGAGAUUAAAAUAUAAUUUUAUUAUAUGUUAAUUUUAUUAUUUCAAGAUUUAAUAGAAUUUUUCCCAUUUGAGGCAGUAAAAUGUAAUUUUAUCAUAUGUUAAUUUAUAAUUUAAUCAUUUAUAAAGGGGUUGAAUUUUUUUUUUUCAUUUUAGAAUGGGCUAAGGCUCUUGCCUGCCUGCCUUAAAUUCACCAAUCUAUUUGAAUGGAAAGCUUGAUUGUAAAUACAAAUGCUAAUAGUAAGGAAUUGUUGUGACUAAUAGAAAGUUACACAUUUAAUCAUGGCAUUAGGUUGCAAAGAGUUUCCUUGUGGUCAACAAUGUAUUCUAUUCACAUCAAUAACAAUGUAUUCUAUUCCAAAUAUUUCUAAAGGUCAUAUUGGAUAACUGGACAUAGAACAUAGUGCAAAAAAAAGUGAGGAGUACUCAAAAGUUUGACAACAUUUUAGUGAGGGAAAAGAAAUCUAUGUUGAACAAAGACAAAUUCAUGCGAUAGACAAACAUGAGCAAUUGAUUAACAAAAGUAAAUGUGAUAACAUGACUAUUUUAGAAUCAUGUUCUAAUGAUGAUUUAGAAGAUAGAGACGAGUCACUUUGUAAAGAAGAAUGUUAGUGAACAAAACGUAAUAGAAGAAAUUUUAGACUAAUAGAGUUGUUCACUAAAGUUUAGUUUAGAUAAGUUUGAAACAUUCUAUCUUCCUAAAGAGUUGUUUUUGAUGAUAUCGAUGGUGAGAUUAUCUCAUAUAAAAAGAUUGAGUGUAAAGAGGUUGAAAGUGAUAAAAGCCGAAUCUGGCGAUGUCACAUGGAAUGGAAUUUGAAAUCGAAGUUAUCAAGUUAAAAUCGUUUCCGUUUAUUAGCUUUUAUUUAUCUUUCGUCCAUUGCAUAACUAUUUUCUCAUUAAUUUGCUUUGUUUGAGAAAAAAACAUAUUCUGUAACGGAAGCAUUUAAAACUGUGAUAUUUAACGAAAAACGUUCGCGUUUAGGAAAAACGUUGUAUUUAAUAAAACCAAGAUUUAGGUGCAGUUCUAAAAUUCAUGGAAAUAGUUAAAAUCCAAAACAAAGGCAAAUAGUCCAAAAGUCCCAAUUUACAUAAAAAAAAAUACCCAAAAAUAAUAGAAAAUAAAUACUGUCACUGAAAUUGAAACAGUUCAAUAAUCAUGUGGUCACUGUUGAGCCCUUCACAGCACCGAUCAGUCUAAGGCUGAGGAUUACCUGUAUAGAUAAAACAGGAAGGGUGAGUUUACGUAAACUCAGUGUGUAAUCCCCAUAGAAGACAUACAUACAGUCAAACAACAGAUAUAAGUCGAAUGCAGUCUAGGGCCUAAGCCCAUUACAGAUUCAGAUACAGUUUAGGCCUUAGCCCAUUUAGAUACAGUUCAGAUAUAACUUAGGGCCUUAGCCCAUCUCAGAUACAGUAUGUAUACAGUAGCAGAACUCGAUAUCCUACCCACCAGCCUCUACACACCAUCUCUGACCAUCCCUAUACACCAUGUGGGGUUUAAAACACCCACCCAGCCCUACACACCAAGUCGUACCGAAUGCGGCACACAUCAGUAAUAUUGCAGCUGAGCUGCCAGAUAAUAGGCAUCAAAGCCUUUUAGUACACUUCCUCCAAUAAUCAAUCAUCCCACCCCAAUGCAGAUGCAACUAACAUGCUCAAUGCAAAUAUACAGAAAUACAUGCUAAUAUUCAGUUAUUAGUCAUACAUACGGAUCAGUAAACAUGCAUACAUUUAACAUGCUCAUUACAUAUAUUAUAUAUUUAAGUUACAUGAUUUAGGGUCUAAGUAGCGUUUACCGACCCUACAGUAGGUUCACAGUCGACUUGAGUGACCCGUGCAAUCCUCGGAAACACUUUAGCUAAAUGGGCCCACACGCCCGUGGCCUUGCCCGUGCGGAUCACACGACUUGGCCCAGAUAUCACACGCCCGUGUGGCGUGUCCACGUGGGCCCACACACCCAGUUUGAUUUAGCCGGUGUGGCCUACACGGCCAUACUCCGGCCAUCACAUGGUCGUGUCUUGCUCAUGGCCUGGCCUUCGUCGAUCACAUGGUCAUAUUGUCGCACACGGCCUACCACACGGGUGACCACAUGCCCGUGUGGCAUCGACAGUGGCCUUUUCUACUUUUCUCGAAAACUCGAUUUCUACGUUUCGGGUACAGGGAAGCAAAAAGAGAAAAUUUGGCAAAACAAAAAAGGAUAGAAACUGACGUUAAAAUUGAAAGAGGGGAAAACAAUUGUAAUUCGAAAAAGAAAAUAAUUCCUUAAUUAUCUCCACAAUCCCGGAAUUCACUCCCCCCUAAUCUCACAAACCUACAACCACUCCAGAAUCCCCACUCAGCCGAAAUUGUUGUUCAUCACCGUGCAAAAAUAGCACCUAUGCUCAAGCAGAGAUUCAAACUCUAGACCUCCCACUCACCAACACACAUUUUAACCACCAAACUAGCAAUCCCAUACUGUUAUAUACUUACAAACAAUUAAACUUAAAACCUUUGAGUAAGGUUAAGGCUUUAUUCAGAAAGAGACAAAAAUUCAUUAAGAUAAGGCUUGAACUUGGGACCUCACACAUACACCCAGAACACUUAACCACUAAAGCAGAUACACAAUUGUGUUAUAAUUCUACAGAAGCAGACAUAAGAAAUUUUGGGGCGUUACACCCACGCCUUGUGAAUAGUAGCAUACACAAAAUUAAAAUUGAGAAAAGAAUGAGCGAAAAUAAUGAAAAGAAACAAAUAUGUUGUAUAUGCAAAAUAGAAAAGUGGUUACGUUUUAACUAACUAUAACUCCAAUUUGUCUAUUGGUGUUUAUUUAUUUUAAGAUUUUAGUGAUCCACCAAGAGGAGUUUAAUUACAUUAUUCCACCCAUAAUAGAAGAUUUUACAUGUUGGAGCGAGAUAAGUUGAACAUUUAAAGUUUUCCACUGUUGGAAAAUAUGGAAAUCACAUAUAUAAUAAUAGUAAUUACAUGUUGUUAUUUGCUAUCUUAAAAGAUUUGUCCAAAUUAAAAGUGAUCUAAUUUGGUUAAGGUUUAUUGGGCUUUAGUUGUUAAAUAAAGUAUGAGUCAAAUAUUUGUAAUACUUUAGUAACUAAUUUCAAAUUGGUGAUGGGAUAAUUAAAAAUUAGGGUUAAUGUGCAAAAGUUAUAUAUUAGGCUUAUGGUCCUUAAACUAAAGAUAACAUAACUUUUCUAAUAUCUCAUCUUUAGAAAAGAAUUAGAAAAGAGAAAGUCAUCUUCUCUAGAUUACUUGUGUGCUAAUUUGGAAGAUCAAAAUUAUAAGAUUCGAAGAUUUCAAGAAAUCGAUGAAUUCAGACACGCUUCCACAUCUAACUUUUUAUUAUUAUUAUUUAUUUUUGAUAAUUUUACAUGGCAGAUCCUGAUUUGUUAAACUUUAUUUCAAAUUUAUUUUUAUGGUUGUAACAUCCAUAGGUAAAAAAAUAAGCAACAGUAAAUAAGCAAAGGCAAGGAGAAUUCGAAAGUUGAUGCAUUAUCAAGAAGGCAUGCCUUGAAAAGCUAGAAUGUGUGUGCUAUUAAUUUUUGCUUUGUAGAUAAUGCAUGACCAAUUCUUAUUUAGAAAGAGUAAGCUUAGCAUGUUUAAUUGUUCCAAGAGUGAUUAUAGUGAUGGGUUAAUGGAUUUUGUUGGCGUUGGUAGAAUUUUAGACUUGAAAUUUUUUACCCUAUUAUUUGAAUGAUUCUUCCUUAAUUUCUUAUUAAAUUCUGGCAUGACAAUCCUAGAUUUAUUUAGGUUUGAGAGGAUUAAACUAAGUAAUUUUGUUGUGUUGGACAGAUUUUGAAUGCAUGCUAUGAGUUUGACAAUUCAACAAAUCUUGCUAAAUUGAACUUCAUGAGGUGGAACACUUGCAUGAAGUUCUUAAAAAUAUUGUUUUAGACAUUCUCACGGUCUGCCGAGUUUUUGCAUGAUUUCUAUUUAAAGUUAUAAUGAUUUAUUUAGUCCUUCAACUUUAUAAAAAAAAAGUUAAUUUGGCUUUUCAUUUAAUUUUUCAUCUCUUUUAGCCUUUAAACUUGUAUUAUUUGUCAAAUCACUCCAAAAAUGGAUGGAAAAGUUAAUGUUUUUUAACUUUUCUGACAUGACAUACAUAUGGAUUGCCACGUAAGCAAUUAAUUUAAUUUUUAAAAUUUUAAAAAAGUAUAAAUAUAUAAAAAUAUAUAUUUUAAAAUUUUUAAAAAAAUAAUUAAUUGUUAAUGUGGGAUACACAUGGAUUGUUACAUAGAUAUCACAUUUUAAAGGCUAAAAGAGGUAAAAAUAAAUAAAUGGAGAGCUAAAAUAUUUUUUUCUAUAAAGUUAGAAGACCGAAUAAAGUAUUAUACUAUGUUUAAAUAUAUGAAAUUCAACAUAAUGUUUAGCCUCUUUUGAAUUCAUUAUUAGGGAAAAAAAACAUAAAUGAAAUAAGUAUUUUGAAGAUUAUUUAUGGCCUUUUAACGGAGCAAAUUUAGUUUUUUACUUUAAUUUUUAAUUUUUAGAUUUCAAAAUUUAUGUAUUUUAAAUACUAUUAAAAAAAUCUAUUAAAUUUAUUGGGGUGACACUUAAAAUAAAAGACACUUAUUUGUUAGUCAAGAAAAAAAUGAAUCUAAGUUUAAUAGAAUAAUUUUAAUAGUGUUAACAAUUAAAUUUUUAUUUUAAAAUUUUAAAAAUAGAGCAACUAAAAUUUUUAAAAUAAAAGAAAAGAUUAAAUAGGAAAUAUUUUAUUUCUUCGUUAUACGUUGUCAUUCAAUAAACUUAAAACUCAUGCAAUAGCUUGAGGUUUUAUUAUAUUUCUAGGGACAACUACGACAAAGAUAAAGAGCGCUGCUAUCCCAUGGAUCUUUCUACAUCCAUUUUUAUUAUGUAGCUAUAUAUCAUUAUUUCCUUUCCCAUUUGCUGACGAGCUUCCAUGGCCUACUUCACUUGACACUGCAAUGCGACAACAAAAGCAAAUGCAUUCAUCAGUUAAGUUUGAGUCAUUAAUUGUUCUUUGCCUUAAUUCUGUGAGCUUUAAUUUUAAAUUUGAGUGGUUAAAAUGUACGAAGAACCUUUUGCAGUUAGUGCUGGGGCUGAUCUUGAAAGGGCUGUGCACCCCACACAUGCCUGGGAGUUUGUUCGUAAGGUCAUAGUUGAUGCCAGAAAUGCUGGCAGCUAAUGCUUUGACGCAGCUGCAAGCUGAUUGGCGCUCUGGAGUUGAUUGGGCAGCCGCGUUGAGAGAUCUGAUCCCAUUGCAGCAAGGUGCAGGCACGCCACCAGCACCGUUGUUUCUCACGUAAGGAAUGCAGGGUGCCAAGGCUGAUAUGACUUGGCCACAACUUAUGGCCCCUUCAGCCAGGGGUGCACCCACAACCAAGCACAAGACCACACCACAUGCAAGCUUGAGGGCCAUAGUGCUAGCCAUAUGAUUCACUAAUUAGAAGAAAUCAAACAAUUUUAUAUAACUUGUAAGGAAAAUUGAUUGUU
rnacentral:lncRNA from 1 species